AUUGAACGCUGGCGGCAGGCCUAACACAUGCAAGUCGAGCGCGAAAUUUCCUUCGGGAAUGAGUAGAGCGGCGGACGGGUGAGGAACGCGUAGGAAUCUACCUAGUAGUGGGGGACAACAAUCGGAAACGGUUGCUAAUACCGCAUAAGCCCUAAGGGGGAAAGCAGGGGAUCUUCGGACCUUGCGCUAUUGGAUGAGCCUGCGUCGGAUUAGCUAGUUGGUGGGGUAAUAGCCUACCAAGGCAACGAUCCGUAGCUGGUCUGAGAGGAUGAUCAGCCACACUGGGACUGAGACACGGCCCAGACUCCUACGGGAGGCAGCAGUGGGGAAUAUUGGACAAUGGGCGCAAGCCUGAUCCAGCCAUGCCGCGUGUGUGAAGAAGGCUCUAGGGUUGUAAAGCACUUUCAGUAGGGAGGAAAAGUUAGUAGUUAAUAACUGCUAACCCUGACGUUACCUACAGAAGAAGCACCGGCAAACUCCGUGCCAGCAGCCGCGGUAAUACGGAGGGUGCGAGCGUUAAUCGGAAUUACUGGGCGUAAAGCGCGCGUAGGCGGUUUGAUAAGCUGGAUGUGAAAGCCCUGGGCUCAACCUGGGAAUUGCAUCCAGAACUGUCUGACUAGAGUACAGUAGAGGUGAGUGGAAUUUCCUGUGUAGCGGUGAAAUGCGUAGAUAUAGGAAGGAACAUCAGUGGCGAAGGCGACUCACUGGACUGAUACUGACG
rnacentral:rRNA from 1 species